UCCCUCAAAAUCCUUCCACAUUCAACUACAGAGCUAAAAAAAUAAAUCGGUUGUCAAUGUCAAAUCACGAUAUUCAAGGUUGUCACGACGGCCAUGUAUGACCACAAGGAUUUUAUCGGACUAAAAAAAAGAGUACUGAAAACUGAUGCUGUGUCAACUUUUUCUUUCUUUUUGUGCAAGCCAUCUUGUAAGAAGGAGGAAUACAAAUUUUAUGCCACGAGCUACUGAAGUGUAGCAAAGGACAAAGUGUACUAACUCAAUGAAGGCUUGCAUCCAUGAAUAUUUUUGAGAACCAGUCAAUUCAAGUAAAUGUUUUUCUUUUGGACAUUAAAGUAUCACACUAGAGUUUCCUGCUGCAUUUUCAGAUGGAUGAACAUUUAUAAAUGGAGAAAUGUUCCAAUUCUUACACCUUCAUUGGAUACAUACCUGGUAUAAAAUUUUCCCAUUAAUUAGAACUAUCUAACAACUCUUGUAAAUGAUUAUUACACCAUCAAUUCUU